AUGCAAAUAAAAUAUGGUGUCUACAUAUUCAUUUCUACAACACACGCCAAAUUAUACAAUCAAUAAAAAGAAAUUGUUAAGAUUUAAUUCCCAUUCCCAAAUAUAUUACAAAAAGAUACUAUCUGACCUCCCUUUCUCGUAAUUUCACACUUGAAUUUUGCAAAGCAAUGUCAACUACCUUAAUGACCACUGAUGUGCCAACUACACAAUAAUACACUUG
rnacentral:misc_RNA from 1 species